AUGAACGCUAGCUACAGGCUUAACACAUGCAAGUCGAGGGGCAGCAUGGUCUUAGCUUGCUAAGGCCGAUGGCGACCGGCGCACGGGUGAGUAACACGUAUCCAACCUGCCGUCUACUCUUGGACAGCCUUCUGAAAGGAAGAUUAAUACAAGAUGGCAUCAUGAGUCCGCAUGUUCACAUGAUUAAAGGUAUUCCGGUAGACGAUGGGGAUGCGUUCCAUUAGAUAGUAGGCGGGGUAACGGCCCACCUAGUCUUCGAUGGAUAGGGGUUCUGAGAGGAAGGUCCCCCACAUUGGAACUGAGACACGGUCCAAACUCCUACGGGAGGCAGCAGUGAGGAAUAUUGGUCAAUGGGCGAGAGCCUGAACCAGCCAAGUAGCGUGAAGGAUGACUGCCCUAUGGGUUGUAAACUUCUUUUAUAAAGGAAUAAAGUCGGGUAUGCAUACCCGUUUGCAUGUACUUUAUGAAUAAGGAUCGGCUAACUCCUUGCCAGCAGCCGCGGUAAUACGGAGGAUCCGAGCGUUAUCCGGAUUUAUUGGGUUUAAAGGGAGCGUAGAUGGAUGUUUAAGUCAGUUGUGAAAGUUUGCGGCUCAACCGUAAAAUUGCAGUUGAUACUGGAUAUCUUGAGUGCAGUUGAGGCAGGCGGAAUUCGUGGUGUAGCGGUGAAAUGCUUAGAUAUCACGAAGAACUCCGAUUGCGAGGGCAGCCUGCUAAGCUGCAACUGACAUUGAGGCUCGAAAGUGUGGGUAUCAAACAGGAUUAGAUACCCUGGUAGUCCACACGGUAAACGAUGAAUACUCGCUGUUUGCGAUAUACGGCAAGCGGCCAAGCGAAAGCGUUAAGUAUUCCACCUGGGGAGUACGCCGGCAACGGUGAAACUCAAAGGAAUUGACGGGGGCCCGCACAAGCGGAGGAACAUGUGGUUUAAUUCGAUGAUACGCGAGGAACCUUACCCGGGCUUAAAUUGCAGAUGAAUUACGGUGAAAGCCGUAAGCCGCAAGGCAUCUGUGAAGGUGCUGCAUGGUUGUCGUCAGCUCGUGCCGUGAGGUGUCGGCUUAAGUGCCAUAACGAGCGCAACCCCCAUCCGCAGUUGCCAGCAGGUAAAGCUGGGGACUCUGCGGAGACUGCCGGCGCAAGCUGAGAGGAAGGCGGGGAUGACGUCAAAUCAGCACGGCCCUUACGUCCGAGGCUACACACGUGUUACAAUGGGGGGUACAGAGGGCCGCCACCACGCGAGUGGAUGCCAAUCCCAAAAACCUCUCUCAGUUCGGACUGGAGUCUGCAACCCGACUCCACGAAGCUGGAUUCGCUAGUAAUCGCGCAUCAGCCACGGCGCGGUGAAUACGUUCCCGGGCCUUGUACACACCGCCCGUCAAGCCAUGGGAGCCGGGGGUACCUGAAGUGCGUAACCGCGAGGAGCGCCCUAGGGUAAAACUGGUGACUGGGGCU
rnacentral:rRNA from 1 species